rnacentral:rRNA from 1 species
UCAGGAUGAACGCUAGCGGCAGGCCUAACACAUGCAAGGUCGAGGGGUAGAGUUCUUCGGAACUUGAGACCGGCGCGACGGGUGCGUAACGCGUAUGACAAUCUACCUUAUACAGGGGAAUAGCCCAGAGAAAUUUGGAUUAAUGCCCCAUAGUAUUAUUGAAUGGCAUCAUUGAUAAUUAAAGUUCCAACGGUAUAAGAUGAGCAUGCGUCCCAUUAGUUAGUUGGUAAGGUAACGGCUUACCAAGACAAUGAUGGGUAGGGGUCCUGAGAGGGAGAUCCCCCACACUGGUACUGAGACACGGACCAGACUCCUACGGGAGGCAGCAGUGAGGAAUAUUGGUCAAUGGGCGCAAGCCUGAACCAGCCAUGCCGCGUGCAGGAAGAAGCAUCUAUGGUGUGUAAACUGCUUUUAUACAUGAAGAAACAACUCUACGUGUAGAGUCUUGACGGUACUGUAAGAAUAAGGACCGGCUAACUCCGUG